rnacentral:rRNA from 1 species
UACGUAGGGGGCAAGCGUUGUCCGGAUUUAUUGGGCGUAAAGAGCGUGUAGGCGGCCAGACAGGUCCGUUGUGAAAACUAGAGGCUUAACCUCUAGGCGUCGAUGGAAACCGUCUGGCUAGAGUCCGGAAGAGGAGAAUGGAAUUCCUGGUGUAGCGGUGAAAUGCGCAGAUAUCAGGAAGAACACCCGUGGCUAAGGCGGUUCUCUAGUACGGUACUGACGCUGAGACGCGAAAGCGUGGGGAGCGAACAGG